rnacentral:rRNA from 1 species
GAUGAACGCUAGCGGCAGGCCUAACACAUGCAAGUCGAGGGGUAGAAGGAGCUUGCUCCUUUGAGACCGGCGCACGGGUGCGUAACGCGUAUGCAAUCUACCUUGUACAGGGGAAUAGCCCAGAGAAAUUUGGAUUAAUGCCCCAUAGUAUAUAACCUUCGCAUGUUGGUUAUAUUAAAGUUCCAACGGUACAAGAUGAGCAUGCGUCCCAUUAGUUAGUUGGUAAGGUAACGGCUUACCAAGACGAUGAUGGGUAGGGGUCCUGAGAGGGAGAUCCCCCACACUGGUACUGAGAAACGGACCAGACUCCUACGGGAGGCAGCAGUGAGGAAUAUUGGUCAAUGGUCGCAAGACUGAACCAGCCAUGCCGCGUGCAGGAAGACGGUCCUAUGGAUUGUAAACUGCUUUUAUACAGGAAGAAACCCUCCCACGUGUGGGAGCUUGACGGUACUGUAGGAAUAAGGAUCGGCUAACUCCGUG